GAGGUAGUGACAAUAAAUCACAAUGCGGAACUUUUAGUUCUGCAAUUGGAUUGAGAACAAUGUACAAAUGUUAUCGAUAAACAAUUGGAGGGCAAGUCUGGUGCCAGCAGCCGCGGUAAUUCCAGCUCCAAUAGCGUAUAUUAACGUUGUUGCAGUUAAAAAGCUCGUAGUUGAAAUGUGGGAUGAAGUAUAUAAUGAAUUUUUAAUUCAAUUAUAUAUUGAUUCCCCUCUCCAAUUUAUUAUUAUGGGUAUUAAUUUAUUUGUAAUAAGAAUUGGUCAUUUACUGUGAGAAAAUUAGAGUGUUCAAAGCAGGCAUUUGCUUGAAUAGAUUAGCAUGGAAUAAUACUAAAAGGCUUUUAUGGUCGAUUUAAUUGGUUUGUUCAUAAAAGCAAGAUUAAAAGGAACAGUUGGGGGUAUUCAUAUUCAAUAGUUAGAGGUGAAAUUCUCGGAUUUAUGGAAGAUGAACAAGUGCGAAAGCA
rnacentral:rRNA from 1 species